AUACGUAGGGGACGAGCGUUGUCCGGAAUUACUGGGCGUAAAGGGCGCGCAGGCGGAUAUUUAAGUCAGCUGUAAAAGGCAUGAGCUCAACUCAUGUAUGCGGUUGAAACUGGGUAUCUAGAGUGCUGGAGAGGUAGGCGGAAUUCCCGGUGUAGCGGUGAAAUGCGUAGUUAUCGGGAAGAACACCAGUGGCGAAGGCGGCUUACUGGCCAGCAACUGACGCUGAGGCGCGAAAGCCAGGGGAGCGAACGGGAUUAGAUACCCCGGUAGUCCUGGCCGUAAACGAUGAAUGCUAGGUGUGGGUGUCGAGAGGCAUCCGUGCCGGAGUUAACGCGAUAAGCAUUCCGCCUGGGGAGUACGAUCGCAAGAUUGAAACUCAAAUGAAUUGACGGGG
rnacentral:rRNA from 1 species